GACGAACGCUGGCGGCGUGCUUAACACAUGCAAGUCGAACGGAAAGGCCCCCACCUUGGUGGGGGUGCUCGAGUGGCGAACGGGUGAGUAACACGUGGGUGAUCUGCCCUGUACUUCGGGAUAAGCUUGGGAAACUGGGUCUAAUACCGGAUAAGACCAUGGUUUAGUGUCUCAUGGUGGAAAGAUUAUUGUUUUGGUGCAGGAUGAGCUCGCGGCCUAUCAGCUUGUUGGUGGGGUAAUGGCCUACCAAGGCGUCGACGGGUAGCCGGCCUGAGAGGGUGGACGGCCACAUUGGGACUGAGAUACGGACCACACUCCUACGGGAGGCAGCAGUGGGGAAUAUUGCACAAUGGGCGCAAGCCUGAUGCAGCGACGCCGCGUGGGGGAUGACGGCCUUCGGGUUGUAAACUCCUUUCGUUAGGGACGAAGCCACACCUGUUUUGGGUGUGGUGACGGUACCUUUGUUAAGAAGCACCGGCUAACUACGUGCCAGCAGCCGCGGUAAUACGUAUGGUGCGAGCGUUGUCCGGAAUUACUGGGCGUAAAGAGCUCGUAGGUGGUUUGUUGCGUCAUCUGUGAAAUUCCGGGGCUUAACUUCGGGGUGGCAGGCGAUACGGGCAUAACUAGAGUGCUGUAGGGGAGACUGGAAUUCCUGGUGUAGCGGUGGAAUGCGCAGAUAUCAGGAGGAACACCGAUGGCGAAGGCAGGUCUCUGGGCAGUAACUGACGCUGAGGAGCGAAAGCAUGGGGAGCGAACAGGAUUAGAUACCCUGGUAGUCCAUGCUGUAAACGGUGGGCGUUAGGUGUGGGGCACCGCUUUGGUUUCUGUGCCGUAGCUAACGCAUUAAGCGCCCCGCCUGGGGAGUACGGCCGCAAGGCUAAAACUCAAAGGAAUUGACGGGGGCCCGCACAAGCGGCGGAGCAUGUGGAUUAAUUCGAUGCAACGCGAAGACCCUUACCUGGGUUUGACAUGCACCAGACGGUUGUAGAGAUACGUACCUCCCUUUGUGGUUGGUGUGCAGGUGGUGCAUGGUUGUCGUCAGCUCGUGUCGUGAGAUGUUGGGUUAAGUCCCGCAACGAGCGCAACCCUUGUCUUAUGUUGUCAGCACGUUAUGGUGGGGACUCGCGAGAGACUGCCGGGGUUAACUCGGAGGAAGGUGGGGAUGACGUCAAAUCAUCAUGCCCCUUAUGUCCAGGGCUUCACACAUGCUACAAUGGUCGGUACAGUGGGUUGCUACCCCGUGAGGUGGUGCUAAUCCCUUAAAGCCGGUCUCAGUUCGGAUUGGAGUCUGCAACUCGACUCCAUGAAGUCGGAGUCGCUAGUAAUCGCAGAUCAGCAACGCUGCGGUGAAUACGUUCCCGGGCCU
rnacentral:rRNA from 1 species